rnacentral:sRNA from 1 species
UUGCUGUGGGGAAAUAUAGUGAACGUGGCUAUCAAUACCACCUGCGGUUACAAUCAUGCCUUCGGCACUGAUUACUUCAGUGCCUGCACCGAUUGCAAAAUCGAUAUCAUUCUGAAUAUCAGGGUUACCGCUCUUACCAAUCUUAUAAAUGCGACCAUCUUUGAUACCAAUAUCAGCUUUAUAAAUACCAGUGUAGUCUACAACUACAGCAUUAGUGAUUACGGUAUCAACGGUAUCUUUGGUGCUUAGCUGGCUCUGGUC